rnacentral:rRNA from 1 species
GAAUAUUGGACAAUGGGCGCAAGCCUGAUCCAGCCAUGCCGCGUGUGUGAAGAAGGCCUUCGGGUUGUAAAGCACUUUCAGCGGGGAGGAAGGNGAUUAGGUUAAUACCUUNGNGUNUUGACGUUACUGACAGAAUAAGCACCGGCUAACUCCGUGCCAGCAGCCGCGGUAAUACGGAGGGUGCAAGCGUUAAUCGGAAUUACUGGGCGUAAAGCGCGCGCAGGUGGUUUGUUAAGUCAGAUGUGAAAUCCCCGGGCUCAACCUGGGAACUGCAUUUGAAACUGGCAAGCUAGAGUAUGGUAGAGGGGGGUGGAAUUCCCGGUGUAGCGGUGAAAUGCGUAGAGAUCUGGAGGAACACCGGUGGCGAAGGCGGCCCCCUGGACCAAUACUGACGCUCAGGUGCGAAAGCGUGGGGAGCAAAGCAGG